AUGACUUUGAUCUGCUUCCUCAUCUGGACUCUCCUCUGCUUCACUCAGGGGUCUGAUGGACAAACUGUUGCUCUGACUCAGCCUACAGCCAAAUCAGUGCAGCCAGGUCAGACUGUCACGAUUAACUGUAAGGCCAGUAGUAUAGUAGGUCAAAACUCUGUUUCACAGUACUACCUUGGUUGGUACCAAGAGAAAAAUGAAAAGGCACAUAAAGCUCUGAUCUCCAGAACAACGAUCAGAUAUUCAGGAAUCUCCUCCAGAUUCACUGGAGCAGGGAAUGGAAUAGACUUCAGUCUGACCAUCAGUGGAGUUCAGGCUGAAGAUGCUGGAGUUUAUUACUGUCAGAGUGCGCACUACAUUAACAGUCAGUGGCUAUGGACUUUUGGUGGAGGAACCAGACUGCAGGUUGGAAGUGAUACCCGCCCUGUCCUGACAGUGCUGCCCCCCUCCAGUGAGGAUCUGCACCAGGGGAAGGCCAUCUUCAUGUGUCUGGCCAACAAGGGCUUCCCCUCAGACUGGAGUCUGUCCUGGAAGGUGGACGGCAGCAGCAGCAGCAGCAGUUGGGAGGAGAACAACAGCCGAGGAGUGCUGCAGAAAGACGGCCUCUACAGCUGGAGCAGCACCCUGAGGCUCCCUGCAGACCAGUGGAGGAAGGUGGGCUCUGUGACCUGCGAGGCCACCCAGGGCUCCCAGUGUCCAGUGACAGAGACACUGAAGAAAGACCAGUGUUUCUAA